rnacentral:rRNA from 1 species
UUCUACCAUGCAAGUCGAGCGGAUGACAAGAGCUUGCUCUUCGAUUCAGCGGCGGACGGGGUGAGUAAUACCUAGGAAUCUGCCUGGUANUGGGGGACAACGUUUCGAAAGGAACGCUAAUACCGCAUACGCCCUACGGGGGAAAGCAGGGGACCUUCGGGCCUUGCGCUAUCAGAUGAGCCUANGUCGGAUUANCUAGUUGGUGAGNUAAUGGCUCACCAAGGCGACGAUCCGUAACUGGUCUGAGAGGAUGAUCAGUCACACUGGAACUGAGACACGGUCCAGACUCCUACGGGAGGCAGCAGUGGGGAAUAUUGGACAAUGGGCGAAAGCCUGAUCCAGCCAUGCCGCGUGUGUGAAGAAGGUCUUCGGAUUGUAAAGCACUUUAAGUUGGGAGGAAGGGUACUUACCUAAUACGUGAGUAUUUUGACGUUACCGACAGAAUAAGCACCGGCUAACUCUGUGCCAGCAGCCGCGGUAAUACAGAGGGUGCAAGCGUUAAUCGGAAUUACUGGGCGUAAAGCGCGCGUAGGUGGUUCGUUAAGUUGGAUGUGAAAUCCCCGGGCUCAACCUGGGAACUGCAUCCAAAACUGGCGAGCUAGAGUAGGGCAGAGGGUGGUGGAAUUUCCUGUGUAGCGGUGAAAUGCGUAGAUAUAGGAAGGAACACCAGUGGCGAAGGCGACCACCUGGGCUCAUACUGACACUGAGGUGCGAAAGCGUGGGGAGCAAACAG